GUGGGGGACGGCGGGCAGGGCCGGAGGCGGGGGUGAGGGAUGGCAGUUGUUUUCCCUUUCCUUUCACACCUUUUGAUUGUGUGUAGAUAGAUUCAAGUAAAUCAAAGGUACACAUGAUACUACUUCAAUCAUAACAGCUGCUGAACCACAGUGUGUGCUGGGCACUUGGUUAAGUGCUUUGCACCAAUGAAUUCAUUCAUUUCUUCCAAUAACCACAUGAAAUAUAGAUACCCCAGGACUCCAUUUACAAAUGAGAAAAAUCAAGAGCUAGAAGAUUAGUACUGAAGCUCAAGCAAACUGGCUCGGGGACCCAUGUAUUUGACCAAUAAAAUGUGCUGCCUCCUGAUAACUGAAUGUUGAAAUUACAUAAAUGCGAAAGACAAGUGUGUGUGGAAUAUGGAUUAGUGUUUCCCAA
rnacentral:lncRNA from 10 species